UGGGGAAUAUUGGACAAUGGGCGCAAGCCUGAUCCAGCCAUGCCGCGUGAGUGAUGAAGGCCCUAGGGUUGUAAAGCUCUUUCACCGGUGAAGAUAAUGACGGUAACCGGAGAAGAAGCCCCGGCUAACUUCGUGCCAGCAGCCGCGGUAAUACGAAGGGGGCUAGCGUUGUUCGGAUUUACUGGGCGUAAAGCGCACGUAGGCGGACUUUUAAGUCAGGGGUGAAAUCCCGGGGCUCAACCCCGGAACUGCCUUUGAUACUGGAAGUCUUGAGUAUGGUAGGGGUGAGUGGAAUUCCGAGUGUAGGGGUGAAAUUCGUAGAUAUUCGGAGGAACACCAGUGGCGAAGGCGGCUCACUGGACCAUUACUGACGCUGAGGUGCGAAAGCGUGGGGAGCAAACAGG
rnacentral:rRNA from 1 species